UUCAGGAAAGAGUUCUUUCAGGAUGGAGUCCCAUUGAGUAUGGUUUGUAGUUGUUUGAUGAUGCCCUGUAUGGUUUCCAGUGUUUGGGGUAGGUGACUA